rnacentral:rRNA from 1 species
AAUAGCCUAACGGCUGAACCAGCAACUUGGAGGAAUGUAUAGUGAAAGCUAAUUGUCGGUAUCGAUUGACUCGAAUAAAAUUCUGGGUGGACUAUGAUAAUGACAUUAUCUUCAAGUGUCUUGACCAAACUACGUGCCAGCAGUCGCGGCAAUACGUAGAAGACUAGUGUUAUUCAUCUUUAAUAGGUUUAAAGGGUACCUAGACAGCAGAUAAAGUCAACUAAUCUGUAGAGUUAUUUUUGAGGGGGCUAUAAUGUACUGGUGUGUAGAGAUGAAAUUCAGUUAUACCAUACGGACAGUUCAAGGCGAAAGCAUCUCCUUAUCGAAUAACUGCGUUGAAGGACGAAGGA